GUAAUACGGAGGAUCCGAGCGUUAUCCGGAUUUAUUGGGUUUAAAGGGUGCGCAGGCGGGAGAUUAAGUCGGCGGUGAAAUUUUGCAGCUCAACUGUAAAAGUGCCAUCGAUACUGGUUUUCUUGAGUGUAGAUGAAGUAGGCGGAAUUUGUGGUGUAGCGGUGAAAUGCAUAGAUAUCACGAGGAACUCCGAUUGCGCAGGCAGCUUACUAAACUACAACUGACGCUCAGGCACGAAGGCGUGGGGAUCAAACAGGAUUAGAUACCCUGGUAGUCCACGCAGUAAACGAUGAUUACUGGCUGUUUGCGAUAUACAGUAAGCGGCUGAGCGAAAGCGUUAAGUAAUCCACCUGGGGAGUACGUUCGCAAGAAUGAAACUCAAAGGAAUUGACGGGGGCCCGCACAAGCGGAGGAACAUGUGGUUUAAUUCGAUGAUACGCGAGGAACCUUACCCGGGCUUGAAAUGCAUCUGACAGGGGCAGAGACGCUCUCUCCCUUCGGGGCAGAUGUGUAGGUGCUGCAUGGUUGUCGUCAGCUCGUGCCGUGAGGUGUCGGCUUAAGUGCCAUAACGAGCGCAACCCUCAUCAUUAGUUACCAUCAGGUCAGGCUGGGGACUCUAGUGAGACUGCCAUCGUAAGAUGCGAGGAAGGUGGGGA
rnacentral:rRNA from 1 species